GAUGAACGCUGGCGGCGUGCCUAACACAUGCAAGUCGAGCGAUUUACUUCGGUAAAGAGCGGCGGACGGGUGAGUAACGCGUGGGUAACCUGCCUCAUACACAUGGAUAACAUACCGAAAGGUAUGCUAAUACAAGAUGAUAUAAGAGAUUCGCAUGGAUUUCUUAUCAAAGCUCCGGCGGUAUGAGAUGGACCCGCGUCUGAUUAGCUAGUUGGUAAGGUAACGGCUUACCAAGGCGACGAUCAGUAGCCGACCUGAGAGGGUGAUCGGCCACAUUGGAACUGAGACACGGUCCAAACUCCUACGGGAGGCAGCAGUGGGGAAUAUUGCACAAUGGGCGAAAGCCUGAUGCAGCAACGCCGCGUGUGCGAUGAAGGCCUUCGGGUCGUAAAGCUCUGUCCUCAAGGAAGAUAAUGACGGUACUUGAGGAGGAAGCCCCGGCUAACUACGUGCCAGCCGCCGCGGUAAUAC
rnacentral:rRNA from 1 species